UCAACGUUUUCAACGUUCACUUGCUGCUGUUGGACGACGGGGCAAGAAAGAAUUCUCAAGAGGCGGUUGCGGAUUCUUCACACAUUUUCACUUUGUUGGCUGAUCGGGAAUAAUUUUCUAUUUUGGAUUCGAUUCUCAAACUCUUCUGAUUGGCCUGAGAAUUGAGAUGACAAGUCACCCUCACGAACCGGCCCAGCUUCGAGUGGUCAUCCCUUUUCCGAGCAAGGAGCAGGCACUUAUCGCGCAUAACUCACUUCGGGUCGAUCGUGAGCCGAAACGUAGUCAAGUGCAGAAAACACUUUUUGUAGAGAAACAUUGUCUUAUUGUAGAAUUGGUUGGUCCGGACGCGAGGAGUUUACGACUUUCGUCAAAUACGUUCUUUGAUCAUUUAACCCUUGUUCAAAAGACAAUAGACAAGUUUUCGCUCGACAAGUUUGGCAGUAGUGAACCCAGAACCGAAGAUUUUGACGGAAUCGAAGCAAAGAAGCCCUGUCUAAAUUAAACUAUUCGAAGUAUUCGGACUGAUAGGAUCACGACACAAAAGGAAUUAAUUAUAUUAUACAAAGCAAAAUCCAAUAUUCUAUUACCAUUUAUCA